rnacentral:rRNA from 1 species
GUUUACGGCCAUACCACCCUGAAUCCGAUCUUGUCUGAUAUCGGAAGCGAAGCAGGGCCGGGCCUGGUUAGUACUUGGAUGGGAGAUGGAGAUGUUGUUUUGGGCU